CCAAAUUCACAUGACUACUUAUAGCAAGACUUAUCCCAUGUCCUCAGGAACAAAAGUGACUACUCACAAAGCAUAAUUAUGUUCAUGACCAGAGAGGUAUUGAAAAGCAUCAAGGAUCUGAACAUAUAAUCUUCCACCGAGUAAUCCAACUAGCAUCAACUACAAAGAGUAAUUAACACUACUAGCAACCUUACAAGUGCCAAUCGGAGUCGCGAGACGGAGAUUGGUUACAGGAGAUGAACUAGGGUUUGGAGAUGAGAUGGUGCUGAUGAAGAUGUUGAUGGUGCUGAGUCCCCUCCGAUGAGAGGAGUGUUGGUGAUGACGAUGGCAACGAUUUCCCCCUCCGGGAGGAAAGUUUCCCCGGCAGGACAGCCCUGCCGGAGCUCUUGAUUGGUUCUGCU
rnacentral:lncRNA from 1 species